GACGAACGCUGGCGGCGGGCUUAACACAUGCAAGUCGAACGGAAAGGCCCUGCUUUUGUGGGGUGCUCGAGUGGCGAACGGGUGAGUAACCCGUGAGUAACCUUCCCUUGACUUUGGGAUAACUUCAGGAAACUGGUGCUAAUACCUGAUAGGAGCUCCUGCUGCAUGGUGGGGGUUGGAAAGUUUCGGCGGUUGGGGAUGGACUCGCGGCUUAUCAGCUUGUUGGUGGGGUAGUGGCUUACCAAGGCUUUGACGGGUAGCCGGCAUGAGAGGGUGACCGGCCACAUUGGGACUGAGAUACGGACCAGACUCCAACGGGAGGCAGCAGUGGGGAAUAUUGCACAAUGGGCGGAAGCCUGAUGCAGCAACGCCGCGUGCGGGAUGACGGCCUUCGGGUUGUAAACCGCUUUCGCCUGUGACGAAGCGUGAGUGACGGUAAUGGGUAAAGAAGCACCGGCUAACUACGUG
rnacentral:rRNA from 1 species